rnacentral:rRNA from 1 species
GACGGAGGAUGCAAGCGUUAUCCGGAAUUACUGGGCGUAAAGCGCACGCAGGUGGCUGAGUCAGUCGAUUGUGAAAGCCCUGGGCUUAACCUGGGAAUUGCAGUCGAUACUACUCGGCUCGAGUAUGGGAGAGGGCAGUGGAAUUCCCGGUGUAGCGGUGAAAUGCGUAGAUAUCGGGAGGAACAUCAGUGGCGAAGGCGGCUGCCUGGCCCAAUACUGACACUCAGGUGCGACAGCGUGGGGAGCAAACAGG